GCAUGGUUGCGUGUGCACUGCCCAGAUGUAGGGUGUGGACUUUGCUCAGAAGCACAGCACCUGUGAAGCUUUCGGAAAUUAUCCUUCUGGCUCCAGCCCUUUUUAGAGAUUUCCAGGCACAUCCCUGCAUGAAGGUUUCAGAGUCCCUGGGUUUCCCAGGGCCUUUUCUUUGCUAGGAAUCUCUGAGACGCGCUCUGCAAGAUGAGUUGGCAGCAUCUCUGUGCCUCUGGUUUUGCCAGGCUCCACCAACAACCCGCUAAGGACUCUUCGUCCUCAAGUGCACUGAGGGGAACCCCAGUGAAGGCCAAUGAGGGAAACCACACAUCAUUGAGGGCCGAUGGAGGCCCCCAAAGCCCAAAUUGCUGUGCUCCCCAGUAGGUCCCCAGACACCCUUAACACAGCUAUCUGCAGGAUUGAAUGAUUGCUGGGACCACACAAUUUACACUUGGCUCUCAUGGUCCGGAGGGGAGGACUGUGCCAGCAUGAGAAGACCAGAGAGAAGUAAGUGGAAAUUUGGCGAGAUCCUGUGGCUGCUGUUGGUGGCUGCAGCCAGACAGGAAAACUGAGAUGGUGUGAGCACAAAGGGCUGGAAGGAGUUGGCUUUUUCCAAGAAAUUACAGCGGGAUCUUCUUCCAAGAGGCUGGGGGCCUCUGCAGACAUGACCUCAUUACUCACCCCCUCAAUCCCCCGGCUUCCCUAGGGACCAAGGGCCAGGGGGUCUCUGUCCAGUCCUAGCUCCAAGGAAACUCACACUUGGCUGAUUUUCCUCAUCGGAGCUGGCCUUGAAGUUUGCUCACUGAUAAUCACCAGAAAAUCACCCCAACAAUGGGUGAUGCCAGAGUGUCCUCAAGCUUCAGGGGUCCGUAAAAACACUUGACUCCCCCAGGACAAAAAUGACUGGGGGAAACACGCAGUUCUUCAAAGAGAACGGUUUCAUUCUGUACCAAA